rnacentral:rRNA from 1 species
UACGUAGGGGGCGUAGCGUUAUCCGGAAUUACUGGGCGUAAAGGGUGCGUAGGUGGUUUCUUAAGUCAGAGGUGAAAGGCUACGGCUCAACCGUAGUAAGCCUUUGAAACUGGGAAACUUGAGUGCAGGAGAGGAGAGUGGAAUUCCUAGUGUAGCGGUGAAAUGCGUAGAUAUUAGGAGGAACACCAGUUGCGAAGGCGGCUCUCUGGACUGUAACUGACACUGAGGCACGAAAGCGUGGGGAGCAAACAGGAUUAGAUACCCCUGUAGUCCCUGAGCGGG